CACGUAGGGUGCGAGCGUUGUCCGGAAUUAUUGGGCGUAAAGAGCUCGUAGGCGGUGUGUCGCGUCGGCCGUGAAAACCUGCAGCUUAACUGUGGGCUUGCGGUCGAUACGGGCAUCACUGGAGUUCGGCAGGGGAGACUGGAAUUCCUGGUGUAGCGGUGAAAUGCGCAGAUAUCAGGAGGAACACCGGUGGCGAAGGCGGGUCUCUGGGCCGAUACUGACGCUGAGGAGCGAGAGCGUGGGGAGCAAACAGG
rnacentral:rRNA from 1 species